UGCCAGUCGAAACUGUCAAAAUUGAGUACAGAAGAGGAGAACGGAAUUCCUGGAGGAGCGGUGAAAUGCGUAGAUUUCAGGGAGAACACCGAUGGCGAAGGCAGUUCUCUGGUCUGUAACUGACGCUGAGGUACGAAAGCGUGGGUAGCGAACGGGAUUAGAUACCCCGGUAGUCCACGCUGUAAACGAUGGACACUAGAUGUCGGGCAUAAGCUCGAUGUUGCAGCUAACGCGUUAAGUGUCCCGCCUGGGGAGUACGGUCGCAAGACUAAAACUCAAAGGAAUUGACGGGGGCCUACACAAGCGGUGGAGCAUGUGGUUUAAUUCGAUGCAACGCGAAGAACCUUACCUGGACUUG
rnacentral:rRNA from 1 species